GUGCUCAUUUCAGCAGCACAUACACUGAAAUUGGAAUGAUACAGAAGUUAACAUGGCCCCUGCACAAGAUGAUAUGCAAAUCUGUAAAGGUUCCAUUAAAAAA
ensembl:snRNA U6 U6 spliceosomal RNA